rnacentral:rRNA from 1 species
UACGUAGGGAGCAAGCGUUGUCCGGAAUCAUUGGGCGUAAAGCGCGCGUAGGCGGCCCUGUAAGUCCGUUGUGAAAGUCAAAGGCUCAACCUUUGAAAGCCGAUGGAUACUGCAGGGCUAGAGUCCGGAAGAGGCGAGUGGAAUUCCUGGUGUAGCGGUGGAAUGCGCAGAUAUCAGGAGGAACACCGAUGGCGAAGGCAGAUCUCUGGGCCGUAACUGACGCUGAGGAGCGAAAGCAUGGGGAGCGAACAGG